UGCCAGACUCCUACGGGAGGCAGCAGUGAGGAAUAUUGGUCAAUGGGCUUACGCCUGAACCAGCCAAGUCGCGUGAGGGAAGACUGCCCUAUGGGUUGUAAACCUCUUUUGUCAGGGAGCAAUUGGCGCUACGUGUAGCGUUAUCGAGAGUACCUGAAGAAAAAGCAUCGGCUAACUCCGUGCCAGCAGCCGCGGUAAUACGGAGGAUGCGAGCGUUAUCCGGAUUUAUUGGGUUUAAAGGGUGCGUAGGCGGAAUGCCAAGUCAGCGGUAAAAUCGCGGGGCUCAACCCCAGCCAGCCGUUGAAACUGGGGAUCUAGAGUGUGCGAGAGGUAUGCGGAAUGCGUGGUGUAGCGGUGAAAUGCAUAGAUAUCACGCAGAACCCCGAUUGCGAAGGCAGCAUACCGGUGCACAACUGACGCUCAGGCACGAAAGCGUGGGUAUCGAACAGGAUUAGAUACCCGUGUAAA
rnacentral:rRNA from 1 species